UCCGAUAUGGUGUAGUGGCUAACAUCGUUCGCUUUCAUGAAAUCAGAAAUGACUUCAAGAGGCCCGAACAGCCCCGGGUUCGAUUCCCGGUGUCGGAA